rnacentral:pre_miRNA from 1 species
AGUGUGAUUGCUGGAUUAUAUGGUAAGAGUAGGGUUAGUUUUUAAAGAAAUUACUAAGCUUUCUUGAAAAGUGGCUGUACCAUUUUAUAUUCCCACAAGCAAU